UGCCAGCAGCCGCGGUAAUACGAGGGGUCCAAGCGUUAAUCGGAAUCGCUGGGCUUAAAGCGUACGCAGGCUGACUCGCAGGCAUCUUGUGAAAUCCCACCGCUCAACGGUGGAACUGCAGGGUGAACCGCGGGUCUUGAGACAGGUAGGGGCCAUCGGAACGAUAGGUGGAGUGGUGAAAUGCGUUGAUAUCUAUCGGAACGCCGAAGGAGAAAUCAGAUGGCUGGGCCUGUUCUGACGCUGAGGUACGAAAGCGUGGGGAGCGAACGGGAUUAGAUA
rnacentral:rRNA from 1 species